CCUACGGGAGGCAGCAGUAGGGAAUAUUGGGCAAUGGGCGAGAGCCUGACCCAGCCAUGCCGCGUGCCGGAUGAAGGCCUUCUGGGUUGUAAACGGCUUUUCUCAGGGAAGAAAAAGCCCAUGCGUGGGACACUGACGGUACCUGAGGAAUAAGCACCGGCUAACUCCGUGCCAGCAGCCGCGGUAAUACGGAGGGUGCAAGCGUUGUCCGGAUUUAUUGGGUUUAAAGGGUGCGUAGGCGGCCCGUUAAGUCCGGGGUGAAAGCCCACAGCUCAACUGUGGAACUGCCCUGGAUACUGGCGGGCUUGAGUCCAGACGAGGUUGGCGGAAUGGAUGGUGUAGCGGUGAAAUGCAUAGAUACCAUCCAGAACCCCGAUUGCGUAGGCAGCUGACUAGGCUGGUACUGACGCUGAGGCACGAAAGCGUGGGGAGCGAACAGGAUUAGAUACCCUGGUAGUCCACGCCGUAAACGAUGGAUACUCGCUGGUGGCGAUAGACAGUCACUGGCUUAGCGAAAAGCGGUAAGUAUCCCACCUGGGGAGUACGCUCGCAAGAGUGAAAACUCAAAGGAAUUGACGG
rnacentral:rRNA from 1 species